rnacentral:rRNA from 1 species
GCGAAAGCAUUUGCCAAGAAUGUUUUCAUUAAUCAAGAACGAAAGUUGGAGGCGCGAAGGCGAUCAGAUACCGCCGUAGUUCCAACCGUAAACGAUGCCAACUGGUCAUUGGCGGUUCUUCGUCGCAAGAAGCCGCCAGCAGCGCCCGGGAAACCAAAGUCAUUGGGUUCCGGGGGGAGUAUGGUUGCAAAGCUGAAACUUAAAGGAAUUGACGGAAGGGCACCACCAGGAGUGGAGCUUGCGGCUUAAUUUGACUCAACACGGGAAACCUCACCCGGCCCGGACACUGUUAUGACAGACAGAUUGAGAGCUCUUUCUCGAUUCGGUGGUUGGUGGUGCAUGGCCGUUCUUAGUUCGUGGAGCGAUUUGUCUGGUUAAUUCCGAUAACGAACGAGACGCACGCCUGCUAAAUAGACGACGCUGGCUCCGGUCGGCGAUCGAUCUCGCUUCUUAGAGGGACAAGCGGCGCCCAGCCGCGUGAAGCUGUGCGCAAUAACAGGUCUGUGAUGCCCUUAGAUGUUCGGGGCCGCACGCGCGCUACACUGUCGGCAUCAGCGUGACACCCGCGUCGAGAGGCGCGGGCAACCCGUUGAACCGUCGACGUGCUAGGGAUCGGGGCUUGCAAUUGUUCCCCGUGAACGAGGAAUUCCUUGUAGAGGCGCGUCAUCAGCGCGCCUCGAAUCCGUCCCUGCCCUUUGUACACACCGCCCGUCGCUACUACCGAUCGAAUGGAUUAGUGAGGCCUCCGGACUGCUGCUCGACCGCUUCACGGCGUCGGCGCGGCGGAAAGUGGGACGAACUUGCUCAUUUAUAGGAAGUAAAAGUCGUAACAAGGUUUUCGUAGGUGAACCUGCGGAAGGAUC